rnacentral:rRNA from 1 species
AUUGAACGCUGGCGGCAUGCUUUACACAUGCAAGUCGAACGGCAGCACAAACUUCGGUUUGGUGGCGAGUGGCGAACGGGUGAGUAAUGCAUCGGAACGUGUCCUGAAGUGGGGGAUAACGCAUCGAAAGAUGCGCUAAUACCGCAUAAUCUCUGAGGAGAAAAGUGGGGGAUCGAAAGACCUCAUGCUUUUGGAGCGGCCGAUGUCUGAUUAGCUAGUUGGUAGGGUAAUGGCCUACCAAGGCGACGAUCAGUAGUUGGUCUGAGAGGAUGGCCAGCCACACUGGGACUGAGACACGGCCCAGACUCCUACGGGAGGCAGCAGUGGGGAAUUUUGGACAAUGGGCGCAAGCCUGAUCCAGCAAUGCCGCGUGAGUGAAGAAGG